UGGUGGAGUGAUUUGUCUGGUUUAUUCCGAUAACGAGCGAGACUCUAGCCUACUAAAUAGUCACUGGAUAAUUGCGUCCAGAAGACUUCUUAGAGGGACAAGCGGUGCUUAGCCGCACGAGAUUGAGCAAUAACA
rnacentral:rRNA from 1 species